GUAGGGAAUAUUGCUCAAUGGGGGAAACCCUGAAGCAGCAACGCCGCGUGGAGGAUGACACUUUUCGGAGCGUAAACUCCUUUUGUUAGGGAAGAACCAUGACGGUACCUAACGAAUAAGCACCGGCUAACUCCGUGCCAGCAGCCGCGGUAAUACGGAGGGUGCAAGCGUUACUCGGAAUCACUGGGCGUAAAGGACGCGUAGGCGGAUUAUCAAGUCUUUUGUGAAAUCUAACAGCUUAACUGUUAAACUGCUUGAGAAACUGAUAAUCUAGAGUGAGGGAGAGGCAGAUGGAAUUGGUGGUGUAGGGGUAAAAUCCGUAGAGAUCACCAGGAAUACCCAUUGCGAAGGCGAUCUGCUGGAACUCAACUGACGCUAAUGCGUGAAAGCGUGGGGAGCAAACAGGAUUAGAUACCCUGGUAGUCCACGCUCUAAACGAUGUAUACUAGUUGUUGCUGUGCUAGUCACGGCAGUAAUGCACCUAACGGAUUAAGUAUACCGCCUGGGGAGUACGGUCGCAAGAUUAAAACUCAAAGGAAUAGACGGGGACCCGCACAAGCGGUGGAGCAUGUGGUUUAAUUCGAAGAUACGCGAAGAACCUUACCUGGGCUUGAUAUCCAACUAAUCUCUUAGAGAUAAGAGAGUGCUAGCUUGCUAGAAAGUUGAGACAGGUGCUGCACGGCUGUCGUCAGCUCGUGUCGUGAGAUGUUGGGUUAAGUCCCGCAACGAGCGCAACCCACGUAUUUAGUUGCUAACAGUUCGGCUGAGCACUCUAAAUAGACUGCCUUCGCAAGGAGGAGGAAGGUGUGGACGACGUCAAGUCAUCAUGGCCCUUAUGCCCAGGGCGACACACGUGCUACAAUGGCAUAUACAAUGAGAUGCAAUAUCGCGAGAUGGAGCAAAUCUAUAAAAUAUGUCCCAGUUCGGAUUGGAGUCUGCAACUCGACUCCAUGAAGCCGGAAUCGCUAGUAAUCGUAGAUCAGCCAUGCUACGGUGAAUACGUUCCCGGGUCUUGUACUCACCGCCCGUCACACCAUGGGAGUUGAUUUCACUCGAAGUCGGAAUGCUAAACUAGCUACCGCCCACAGUGGAAUCAGCGACUGGGGUGAAGUCGUAACAAGGUAACCGUAGGAGAACCUGCGGUUGGAUCACCUCCUUUCUAGA
rnacentral:rRNA from 1 species